AACAAGGAUUCCCCUAGUAGCGGCGAGCGAAGCGGGAAGAGCUCAAAUUUAUAAUCUGGCACCUUCGGUGUCCGAGUUGUAAUCUCUAGAAAUGUUUUCCGCGUUGGACCGCACACAAGUCUGUUGGAAUACAGCGGCAUAGUGGUGAGACCCCCGUAUAUGGUGCGGACGCCCAGCGCUUUGUGAUACAUUUUCGAAGAGUCGAGUUGUUUGGGAAUGCAGCUCAAAUUGGGUGGUAAAUUCCAUCUAAAGCUAAAUAUUGGCGAGAGACCGAUAGCGAACAAGUACCGUGAGGGAAAGAUGAAAAGCACUUUGGAAAGAGAGUUAACAGUACGUGAAAUUGUUGGAAGGGAAACGCUUGAAGUCAGACUUGCUUGCCGAGCAAUCGGUUUGCAGGCCAGCAUCAGUUUUCCGGGAUGGAUAAUGGUAGAGAGAAGGUAGCAGUUUCGGCUGUGUUAUAGCUCUCUGCUGGAUACAUCUUGGGGGACUGAGGAACGCAGUGUGCCUUUGGCGGGGGUUUCGACCUCUUCACACUUAGGAUGCUGG
rnacentral:rRNA from 1 species